rnacentral:rRNA from 1 species
GAUUUCUGGUACGGUGCGCCUGACCCACUGUCGAAAGGCGUGUGAAGUGUCGGAGUGCGUCUGCCAUCCUUCUAGGAAUUUUGUCGCACUUCACUGGGUGGCAAAUGAACUAGAUCUUUUACUUUGAAAAAAUUAGAGUGUUUAAAGCAGGCUAGCGCCUUGAAUACAUUAGCAUGGAAUAAUAAUUUAGGACUUUGUUUCUAUUUUGUUGGUUUCUAGGAAUGAAGUAAUGAUUGAUAGGGACAGUUGGGGGUGCUAGUAUUCAUCGGCCAGAGGUGAAAUUCUUGGAUUCGAUGAAGACUAACUUAUGCGAAAGCAUU